rnacentral:rRNA from 1 species
UACGGGGGGGGCAAGCGUUGUUCGGAAUUACUGGGCGUAAAGGGCUCGUAGGUGGCCAACUAAGUCAGACGUGAAAUCCCCCGGCUUAACCGGGGAACUGCGUCUGAUACUGGACGGCUUGAGUUCGGGAGAGGGAUGCGGAAUUCCAGGUGUAGCGGUGAAAUGCGUAGAUAUCUGGAGGAACACCGGUGGCGAAGGCGGCAUCCUGGACCGACACUGACGCUGAGGAGCGAAAGCCAGGGGAGCAAACGGG